rnacentral:rRNA from 1 species
CCUACGGGAGGCGCAGUGGGGAAUAUUGGACAAUGGGCGAAAGCCUGAUCCAGCAAUUCCGCGUGUGUGAAGAAGGCCUUCGGGUUGUAAAGCACUUUAAGCAGGGAAGAAAAAGCUUGGCCACACCAAGCCUUGACGGUACCUGAAGAAUAAGCACCGGCUAACUCUGUGCCAGCAGCCGCGGUAAUACAGAGGGUGCAAGCGUUAAUCGGAUUUACUGGGCGUAAAGGGUGCGUAGGUGGUUUGAUAAGUCGGAUGUGAAAGCCCCGGGCUCAACCUGGGAACUGCAUUCGAUACUGUCAGACUCGAGUUCGGUAGAGGGCGGUGGAAUUUCUGGUGUAGCAGUGAAAUGCGUAGAUAUCAGAAGGAACAUCAAUGGCGAAGGCAGCCGCCUGGGCCUGGACUGACACUGAGGCACGAAAGCGUGGGUAGCAAACAGGAUUAGAUACCCUGGUAGUCCACGCCGUUAAACGAUGAGACUGACGUUGGAUUGUUUACAUUCCAGUGUCGUAGCUAACGCGAGUAGUUCGUCCGUCCGUCGGGAGGUACGGCCGGUCGUAGGUUAGUUAAACGUUAACGUAAGUUAAGUUAGUACGGCGUUGAGACGNGCCGACGGACGACGACGAGGGAGGAGG